rnacentral:rRNA from 1 species
AGUGAACGCUGGCGGUAGGCCUAACACAUGCAAGUCGAACGGCAGCACAGUAAGAGCUUGCUCUUACGGGUGGCGAGUGGCGGACGGGUGAGGAAUACAUCGGAAUCUACUUUUUCGUGGGGGAUAACGUAGGGAAACUUACGCUAAUACCGCAUACGACCUACGGGUGAAAGCAGGGGAUCUUCGGACCUUGCGCGAUUGAAUGAGCCGAUGUCGGAUUAGCUAGUUGGCGGGGUAAAGGCCCACCAAGGCGACGAUCCGUAGCUGGUCUGAGAGGAUGAUCAGCCACACUGGAACUGAGACACGGUACAGACUCCUACGGGAGGCAGCAGUGGGGAAUAUUGGACAAAGGGCGCAAGCCUGAUCCAGCCAUACCGCGUGGGUGAAGAAGGCCUUCGGGUUGUAAAGCCCUUUUGUUGGGAAAGAAAAGCAGCAGGUUAAUACCCCGCUGUUCUGACGGUACCCAAAGAAUAAGCACCGGCUAACUUCGUG